GCCCAGGUGGUGGAAUGGUAUACACGAAGGACUUAAAAUCCUUUGAGCUUUUGUUCAUGCGGGUUCGACUCCCGCCCUGGGCA
rnacentral:tRNA from 1 species